rfam:Trichobilharzia regenti genome assembly, scaffold: TRE_scaffold0041642
GUACUAAUGAAGAGUCUCAAACUAGGACGAGACGGCUGUCCAGUAC